rnacentral:lncRNA from 1 species
CAGAACUUUACAUGCUGAUGAUGGGAAUAAAAAAAAAAUGGCACAACCACAACAGAAAAGUUUAGGAGUUCCUUAAUUUCAGUCCCAGGAUUCCCACUAUCCAACAACAACAUCAUCAUCAUCAACAACAACAACCACAACAAACCCCGAAAACAGCAAGUGGAUAUGGAGAAAUUGGAUCCCUGGUGCACUGUUGGUGGGAACACAGAAUGGAGCAGCUGCUAUGGAAAACAGUAUGGAGAUUCCUAAAAAAUUAAAAAUAUAAUUACCGUAUAAUCUCAUAACCCCACUUCUGGGUAGAUAUCCAAAAGAAUUAAAAGCAGGAUCUCGAAGACAUCUUUGCAUACUCAUGUUCUUUGCAGCAUUACUUAUAACAACCAAGAGGUGGAAGCAACCUGAAUGUCCACGGACUGAUGAAUGGAUGCAGAAAAUGUGGUAUAUACAUAUGAUGGACUAUUAUUCAGCCUUAGAAAGAAAGAAGUCUUGUCACAUGCUACAACUUAGAUGAACCUUGAGGACAUUAUACAAAGUGAAAUGAGCUAGUCAUAAAAAAGACAAAUAUUGCAGGAUUCUACUUGUAUGAGGUAAGUAGAAUGGUGGUCGAAGGGGUUAGGGGAGGGGAAAUGGGGAGUUGUUCAAUGGAUAUAGUGUUUCUGUUUGUCGAGACAAAAAAGUUCUAGAGAUCUGUUGUACAAGAAUGUAAGUAUAGUUAACAUUACUGGCCUGUACAAUUAAAACCAGUUAAG